rnacentral:pre_miRNA from 1 species
CUUGUACUCCCUCCGUCCGAAAAUACUUGUUAUUGAAAUGGAUGUAUCUAGAUGUAUUUUUAGUUCUAGACACAUCCAUUUUGAUGACAAGUAAUUCCGGACGGAGGGAGUACUUG